rnacentral:tRNA from 1 species
GGGCCUGUAGCUCAGUACGGUAGAGCGGUGGACGCAACCCAUUGGUCAAGGGUUCAAAUCCCUUCAGGCCCGCCA